CAAAUUGUAGCUCAGUUGGAAAAGCAAAGGACUGUGAUUUGUGGAUAUCCUUAGAUCCCUGGUCAAUCCUGGGCAAUCAGA